GUUAUAUGGUCAAGUGAAGAAGCGCAUACGGUGGAUGCUUGGCAGUCAGAGGCGAUGAAAGACGUGGUAGCCUGCGAAAAGCUUCGGGGAGUCGGCAAACAGACUGUGAUCCGGAGAUGUCUGAAUGGGGGAACCCAGCCAUCACAAGAUGGUUAUCUUACACUGAAUACAUAGGUGUAAGAGGCGAACCAGGGGAACUGAAACAUCUAAGUACCCUGAGGAAAAGAAAUCAACCGAGAUUCCCUUAGUAGUGGCGAGCGAACGGGGACCAGCCCUUAAGUUGUAUUGAGAUUAGCGGAACGCUCUGGAAAGUGCGGCCAUAGUGGGUGAUAGCCCUGUACGCGAAAAUCCCUUUGCAAUGAAAUCGAGUAGGACGGGGCACGAGAAACCUUGUCUGAAUAUGGGGGGACCAUCCUCCAAGGCUAAAUACUACUGACUGACCGAUAGUGAACCAGUACCGUGAGGGAAAGGCGAAAAGAACCGCGGAGAGCGGAGUGAAAUAGAUCCUGAAACCGUAUGCGUACAAGCAGUGGGAGCCCACUUUGUUGGGUGACUGCGUACCUUUUGUAUAAUGGGUCAGCGACUUAUUUUCAGUGGCGAGCUUAACCGAAUAGGGGAGGCGUAGCGAAAGCGAGUCUUAAUAGGGCGUCUAGUCGCUGGGAAUAGACCCGAAACCGGGCGAUCUAUCCAUGGGCAGGUUGAAGGUUGGGUAACACUAACUGGAGGACCGAACCGACUACCGUUGAAAAGUUAGCGGAUGACCUGUGGAUCGGAGUGAAAGGCUAAUCAAGCUCGGAGAUAGCUGGUUCUCCUCGAAAGCUAUUUAGGUAGCGCCUCAUGUAUCACUGUAGGGGGUAGAGCACUGUUUCGGCUAGGGGGUCAUCCCGACUUACCAAACCGAUGCAAACUCCGAAUACCUACAAGUGCCGAGCAUGGGAGACACACGGCGGGUGCUAACGUCCGUCGUGAAAAGGGAAACAACCCAGACCGUCAGCUAAGGUCCCAAAGUCAUGGUUAAGUGGGAAACGAUGUGGGAAGGCUUAGACAGCUAGGAGGUUGGCUUAGAAGCAGCCACCCUUUAAAGAAAGCGUAAUAGCUCACUAGUCGAGUCGGCCUGCGCGGAAGAUGUAACGGGGCUCAAACCAUGCACCGAAGCUACGGGUAUCACCUUUGGUGAUGCGGUAGAGGAGCGUUCUGUAAGCCUGUGAAGGUGAGUUGAGAAGCUUGCUGGAGGUAUCAGAAGUGCGAAUGCUGACAUGAGUAACGACAAUGGGUGUGAAAAACACCCACGCCGAAAGACCAAGGUUUCCUGCGCAACGUUAAUCGACGCAGGGUUAGUCGGUCCCUAAGGCGAGGCUGAAAAGCGUAGUCGAUGGAAAACAGGUUAAUAUUCCUGUACUUCUGGUUAUUGCGAUGGAGGGACGGAGAAGGCUAGGCCAGCCUGGCGUUGGUAGUCCAGGUUUAAGGUGGUAGGCUGAGAUCUUAGGUAAAUCCGGGAUCUUAAGGCCGAGAGCUGAUGACGAGUGUUCUUUUAGAACAUGAAGUGGUUGAUGCCAUGCUUCCAAGAAAAGCUUCUAAGCUUCAGGUAACCAGGAACCGUACCCCAAACCGACACAGGUGGUUGGGUAGAGAAUACCAAGGCGCUUGAGAGAACUCGGGUGAAGGAACUAGGCAAAAUGGCACCGUAACUUCGGGAGAAGGUGCGCCGGUGAGGGUGAAGCAUUUACUGCGUAAGCCCACGCCGGUCGAAGAUACCAGGCCGCUGCGACUGUUUAUUAAAAACACAGCACUCUGCAAACACGAAAGUGGACGUAUAGGGUGUGACGCCUGCCCGGUGCCGGAAGGUUAAUUGAUGGGGUUAGCGCAAGCGAAGCUCUUGAUCGAAGCCCCGGUAAACGGCGGCCGUAACUAUAACGGUCCUAAGGUAGCGAAAUUCCUUGUCGGGUAAGUUCCGACCUGCACGAAUGGCGUAACGAUGGCGGCGCUGUCUCCACCCGAGACUCAGUGAAAUUGAAAUCGCUGUGAAGAUGCAGUGUAUCCGCGGCUAGACGGAAAGACCCCGUGAACCUUUACUAUAGCUUUGCACUGGACUUUGAAUUUGCUUGUGUAGGAUAGGUGGGAGGCUUUGAAGCGUGGACGCCAGUCUGCGUGGAGCCAACCUUGAAAUACCACCCUGGCAACUUUGAGGUUCUAACUCAGGUCCGUUAUCCGGAUCGAGGACAGUGUAUGGUGGGUAGUUUGACUGGGGCGGUCUCCUCCUAAAGAGUAACGGAGGAGUACGAAGGUGCGCUCAGACCGGUCGGAAAUCGGUCGUAGAGUAUAAAGGCAAAAGCGCGCUUGACUGCGAGACAGACACGUCGAGCAGGUACGAAAGUAGGUCUUAGUGAUCCGGUGGUUCUGUAUGGAAGGGCCAUCGCUCAACGGAUAAAAGGUACUCCGGGGAUAACAGGCUGAUACCGCCCAAGAGUUCAUAUCGACGGCGGUGUUUGGCACCUCGAUGUCGGCUCAUCACAUCCUGGGGCUGAAGCCGGUCCCAAGGGUAUGGCUGUUCGCCAUUUAAAGUGGUACGCGAGCUGGGUUUAGAACGUCGUGAGACAGUUCGGUCCCUAUCUGCCGUGGACGUUUGAGAUUUGAGAGGGGCUGCUCCUAGUACGAGAGGACCGGAGUGGACGAACCUCUGGUGUUCCGGUUGUCACGCCAGUGGCAUUGCCGGGUAGCUAUGUUCGGAAAAGAUAACCGCUGAAAGCAUCUAAGCGGGAAACUUGCCUCAAGAUGAGAUCUCACUGGAACCUAGAGUUCCCUGAAGGGCCGUCGAAGACUACGACGUUGAUAGGUUGGGUGUGUAAGCGCUGUGAGGCGUUGAGCUAACCAAUACUAAUUGCCCGUGAGGCUUGACCAUAUAACACCCAAGCAAUU
rnacentral:rRNA from 1 species